rnacentral:rRNA from 1 species
ACACGUAGUUAACCUAACCUUUGGAGGAGGAUAACCUUGGGAAACUGAGGACAAUACUCCAUAGGCGAUAAUAGCUGGAAAGCUUCUUCGUUUAAAAGAAAUGCGAAAGUAUUUUGCCGUAGGAUGGGACUGCGGCGGAUUAGCUCGUUGUUGAGGUAAAGGCUCAACAAGGCUAUAAUCCGUACGGGUCGUGAGAGCAAUAGCCCGGAGAUGCACUCUGAGACAUGAGUGCAGGCCCUACGGGGCGCAGCAGGCGCGAAACCUUUCCAAUGCGCGAAGGCGUGAGAAGGGAAUCCUGAGUGAUGCCGCAUUGCGGCAUCUUUUCUUUACUGUAAAUAGGUGGAGGAAUAAGUGGUGGGCAAGACGGUUGCCAGCCGCCGCGGUAAUAACCGCGCCACGAGUGGUAGCCACGAUUAUUGGGCCUAAAGCAUCCGUAGCCGGCUUGAUGUGUCUUUGGUGAAAUCUGACAGCAAACUGUCAGGCUUGCUGAAGUUACUAUCAGGCUUGGGACCGGGAGAGGGUGAAGGUACAAUAUGGGUAGGGGUAAAAUCCUUUAAUCCAUAUUGGACCACCUGUGGCGAAGGCGUUCACCUAGAACGGGUCUGACGGUGAGGGAUGAAAGCUUGGGGAGCGAUCGGGAUUAGAUA